rnacentral:rRNA from 1 species
UAACGCGUGAGGAACCUGCCUCAAAGAGGGGGACAACAGUUGGAAACGACUGCUAAUACCGCAUAAGCCCACAGCUCGGCAUCGAGCAGAGGGAAAAGGAGUGAUCCGCUUUGAGAUGGCCUCGCGUCCGAUUAGCUAGUCGGUGAGGUAAUGGCCCACCAAGGCGACGAUCGGUAGCCGGACUGAGAGGUUGAACGGCCACAUUGGGACUGAGACACGGCCCAG